CGAUUUUCAGUAGUACUCCAGUUGUUCCAUCUUGGUGCUAACUAGCUAGCUUUUGCCCUCUCGCACAUCCGCGGAGCUAGCUCACCCCGGUGAGAAAGAAUGCUACCUAGCGCUUGCCGUUUGAUUCGGGUUCUUACCGUCCUCCUGUUGCUGUUAUCUGUCUGCUUCUGCCUGCUUACAAGGGGUUUCAUGCACAAAGCAGCUCGCCACUGCCUUCCUGGUCACGACCCAGUAGGCUGCCCACCCGUACGCUGCCCACCGUACUGCUCAUAGGAAGGGUACUGGUUCUAUACAAUGGAACAUGCAAAUAUGUGGAUGGAGGCUGGUCCAAUGGAGCAUCUGUUGUUCUCUUUCUUCACGAUCAUUGCACAUCAAGUCUUCUACCUAUAAAUGGGGUGUUCAUCUUUCUACAGGAGCUAUUUACAUUAUGCAAGUGUAAUCCGUUCAGUCGAUCAUAAGUUUGUAGUUUAAGAUGCUUAUUUUUCUUACUGAAAGAAUAUACAGGAGCGGAAGAGCCUGUCAUUCGAAUUUUAUAGGCAAAAAUUGAGUGACAUGUACCAGCAAAUAAAGUCCAGCUCUGCUCUGAUUAUUUUUAGUACUUCUGAGUUACUUUCCUAUCCUUCAACAAUGACCAUCUCAACUUAACUUACCUAUGGCCUAGAAGUUGCAGUUGGAUUAGAAUUGCAUAUUUUCAAUAAUGCAGUUUGGGGUAAAUGCUGUAUAAUGUUCCUAUGGUUAUUUUUUGAAAAAAUAUAUAACUGGAAAUUAGCAGAACUAUGACUUAAAAAUAAUCAAAGCGUGACCAAUGAUGACAUGCCUGAGGUAGAUUAAUUAACAUGGGUGGCAUGUGUGUUUCUCAUAUCACAUAAAAUUGGCAAUAGAAACAUUAUGUUCUGUUUUAUCUUCUGGUGGUAUGCCUACUUGCAUGCAUCUAACAGAUACUGCAGUACUGAUUAAAGGGGGUGAGCUGGUCGAGAACAAUUGUAAAGCAAUGAUUUAAUCUAUAAAUUUGUUGUGUUUAAAAGAAGGCAUGAGAUUGGUUAGACCCCUUGUAGACCCUAGCCCUGAUCAUCUAUAUAAGACAAGGGCAGGGGUAGCCAUACUCAUCUAUUCUCUGAUAGGCUAGACUCUCGGUAGCCAUAUUCACCAUCUCUGUAAAUCCCUCAUACGAGGUGCUCCACCAUCAAUACAAAACAAAGCAAGAUGUAGGGUGUUACCUCACCAUGGUGGCCCAAACCUGGGUAACCCUCUUGUGCCAACUCCCUUGUAGCACUUUCGGCCGUGUUCGCCAUCCUACCGAGUGUACUGCACGCAUAUUCAAUUAGUACAUUUGGUAGGGUAGCGGGCAUGGCCGGAAGUACUACAUCGGAGGUCGCACAGUGGUUUUACCCAGGUUAGAGCCUCCGGUGAGGAGCAAUACCCUAAGUCUUGCUUUGUCUUAUUAUUCAUGGUGGGUGUACCUCGUGCGAGGAAUUACAGUGGGGGAGAUGAGUUGCUACCGAGAGUCUAGGUCUACGAGAGUAGAUGGGUAUAAGAGCCCCUUAGCCUCCACCUUAUAUACAUUGUGGGGGCUAGGGAUUUCCAGGAGGUAGAUCCAAUCUAAACGCCGUCAUGUUGACUUAGCUAGGGGUUGAGAUGAUUUAUAGAUGCUUCAUCCGAUCCUCCGGGCUAGUCGCUAACUCCUUGGUGGGAUUUCAAGGCUCCGUGACAGGCCUGCUGCUAGGCUCCUCGUGGAGAAGCACCCCCGGUUUAUUACAUCAACGUUGCAUGGCGGGCCUGGCUCUUCAAGGAGCUUGAUGCAUCAGAAUAUGAUGCCAAAGAGGCACAUGUCGACAGCUCUAGCGUGGUUGUGCCAACGCCGUUGGCUCCGGCGCAAGGGUCAUCGACCUCACCUCCGACGGAGAGGAGUAUGCUUUUAUAGUUUUUAUUUAGCUAUCUUUUGCGUUGUAAAAAUAAUCCAUGAACAAGUUCAAAUGGCUUGUCCGCUUUGUUUG